ACAGAACCCAGCACGGCAUCUGGCACUUCUUUCACCACAUUUGCCACAGUUCGGGGAACAACAGAUUCUACAUCUUAUGAAACUCCAGGAGUGAGCACAUCCACAGAGCAAAGUACAACUUCGACCCCUUCUGCCACUGAAUCAACAUCAACAGUGACAGAACCCAGCGUGGCAUCUGCCACUUCUUUCACCACAUUUGCCACAAGUCGGGAAACAACAG